UACGUAGGGUGCAAGCGUUGUCCGGAAUUAUUGGGCGUAAAGAGCUCGUAGGCGGUUUGUUGCGUCGGCUGUGAAAUCCCGAGGCUCAACCUCGGGUCUGCAGUCGAUACGAGCAAACUAGAGUGUUGCAGGGGAGACUGGAAUUCAUGGUGUAGCGGUGAAAUGCGCAGAUAUCAGGAGGAACACCAAUGGCGAAGGCAGCUCGCUGGGACGGUACUGACGCUGAGGCGCGAAAGCGUGGGGAGCAAACAGG
rnacentral:rRNA from 1 species